rnacentral:rRNA from 1 species
UAAGCGGAGGAAAAGAAACUAACAAGGAUUCCCCCAGUAACGGCGAGUGAAGUGGGAAAAGCUCAACUUUGAAAUCUGGCUGUUUUACAGUCCGAGUUGUAGUCUCGAGAAGUGUUUUCCGCGUUAAACCGUGUAUGAGUCUGUUGGAACACAGCGUCAUAGAGGGUGAGAACCCCGUUCAUGACACGGCUUUUAAUGCUUUGUGAUACACUUUCGAUGAGUCGAGUUGUUUGGGAAUGCAGCUCAAAUUGGGUGGUAAAUUCCAUCUAAAGCUAAAUAUUGGCGAGAGACCGAUAGCAAACAAGUACCGUGAGGGAAAGAUGAAAAGCACUUUGGAAAGAGAGUUAAAAGUACGUGAAAUUGUCGAAAGGGAAACGCUUGAAGUCAGACGUGCACGGGAUUUAUUCCUAUUGCAGGCCAACAUCGGUUUUACGAGCCGGAUAAAGGUACAAGGAAGGUAGCAGUUUCGGCUGUGUUAUAGCCUCGUACUGAAUACGGAUUGUGAGACCGAGGGACGCAGCGCGCCGCAAGGCAAAGGGUCCGCCCUUUUCGCGCUUAGGAUGUUGGUGAAAUGGCUUUAAUCGACCCGUCUUGAAACACG